rnacentral:rRNA from 1 species
UACGGAGGGUGCAAGCGUUGCUCGGAAUUACUGGGCGUAAAGCGCGUGUAGGCGGUCUCGUGUGUCUGGCGUGAAAGCCCCGGGCUCACCCCGGGAAGUGCGUUGGAAACUGCGAGACUAGAGUUCCGGAGAGGAAGGUGGAAUUCCAGGUGUAGAGGUGAAAUUCGUAGAUAUUAGGAAGAACACCAGUGGCGAAGGCGGCUCACUGGUCCGGAACUGACGCUGAGGUGAGAAAGCGUGGGGAGCAAACAGG